AUGAGCAUGAAUAUUGUUGAUCAUAGUAUUUGUGUUGCUUGCACCAUGGGACUUAUUUGUCAUCUUGGACACCUUGAUUGCGCACAUGUUAGUGAGAUUGCUUUCAUUCACGAUCGCCACUUUACCAUGCUUCAUGACAUAUAUACCUUGUGUGUUGCAUCCAACUCUUGGAUUACUUGCUCCUAUCAUAUGUUUGGUUGCAACAAUGUCAUUUCUUCACAUAUGCCAUGUCGCAUUGCUUGUCACAUGAUUGACUUCAUUACCUCACAUAUGAUGAACAAGUUCUCUUUCAAUUGUGUUGAGUGCCACACGAAUUUCACUACACCUAUGCAUGUUAUGCUUGGAUUGUCUCGCACUUGA
rnacentral:rRNA from 1 species